UUGCACAACCUCCUUUCUUCCAUCUUCACCCAAAUUCAUGGGUUUUUAAGCCCAAAAUCACCAAGAACAAUGUCGGAGCACCGAAGGUGUUCGGAGUUGAUUUCACCAUUCCAGUGAGUUUCAUUACUCACUACCACCCUCAAUCAAUUCUCCUUGGACCAAGGAACAAGACCCAACCAGUUGUAGGGGUAUAGGAACAUCGAGGAAGGAGAAUCGAAGCUCACCCAUUAUAGGGUUUCAGACGGAUCUAGGGGAAUUUGAGGUGUUUCUCGGCCAAAUUGGCCUUGGCCACAGGUAUGAAAGUCGGGGUGGCCGACCGCCACUUGUGGCGGCGCGUGGGCCGGGGUACCUUUUGACAUUCCUAACUUAAAUUUGAUACUCCAAUUUCAUAUGUAAAGUCCGAUUGAUGAAAUUUCAGUCAUUUGAACCUAGUUCCAUUAAGGCCCACCACUUGAAUAUAAUAGCAACCAACGAUCCGAACAUUGGAUCGUCACCAAACUUUAUUUCAUUAUAGUACAUAAUAUUUGAGAGCAAUAGAAACUUACAGAUAGGGAAUCCGACAUACAGAUUUUCCCAAAUUGGAUUUGUAAGUUUAUAAAAUAAAAUGUUGACCACCAUUUGGUUUUGGCAAUUGGCGGAGAUUUGACCGUUGGAUUGUAAUGAAACCUUAGGACGUUGUUCUAGAAACAUAAUGUGGAUCCCUGGAUGUAAGGGAUCGGAAAUCCGUGAUGUAGAUCUUCUGAAUUGAAUUAUGUAGGGAUGUGUUUUUGUAAAUUAUGUAUUCUAUCGGUAAGAACUCUGAGAUGUGAUUUGAUAAUUGUUCUAGGCGAUGAUGGUUCGUGAUGUGUCGAUAUUCAUGCUAGGGAGUUGUAGCGCUGGCCUAAGGUGAGUGGGUCUUUUCCUUUCUAUCAUAUAUUAUAUAUAUAUAUCAUUGACAAUUCCACAAACGUUUAUAAAUUGAUUAUUGCGUAUAAUUACUGUGAAUACUUUGAAG
rnacentral:lncRNA from 1 species